UACGAAAGGGGCUAGCGUUGUUCGGAAUUACUGGGCGUAAAGCGCACGUAGGCGGCCUUGUAAGUUGGGGGUGAAAUCCCGGAGCUCAACUCCGGAACUGCCUCCAAAACUACAAAGCUCGAGGAUGUGAGAGGAGAGUGGAAUUCCGAGUGUAGAGGUGAAAUUCGUAGAUAUUCGGAAGAACACCAGUGGCGAAGGCGACUCUCUGGCACAUUUCUGACGCUGAGGUGCGAAAGCGUGGGGGAGCAAACAGG
rnacentral:rRNA from 1 species